GCAAUGACGGAGCUACCAUGCAGUCGAGCGGACAGGCCCCUUCGGGGGUGCUCGAGUGGCGAACGGGGGAGUAACACGUGGGUGAUCUGCCCUGCACUUUGGGAUAAGCCUGGGAAACUGGGUCUAAUACCGAAUAAGACUCCGGACUGCAUGGUCUGGGGUGGAAAGCUUUUGCGGUGUGGGAUGGGCCCGCGGCCUAUCAGCUUGUUGGUGGGGUGAUGGCCUACCGAUGCGACGACGGGCAGCCGGCCUGACACGGUGUCCAGCCACACUGGGACUGACAUACGGCCCUCACUCCUACGGGAGGCAACCCUGGGGAAUAUUGCACAAUGGGCGCAAGCCUGAUGCAGCGACGCCGCGUGAGGGAUGACGGCCUUCGGGUUGUAAACCUCUUUCGCCAGGGACGAAGCGCAAGUGACGGUACCUGGAGAAGAAGCACCGGCCAACUACGUGCCAUCAGCCGCGGUAAUACGUAAGGUGCGAGCGUUGUCCGGAAUUACUGGGCGUAGAGAGCUCGUAGGUGGUUUGUCGCGUUGUUCCUGAAAACUCACAGCUUAACUGUGGGAGAGCGGACUAUACCUCCAAACUGGAAUACUGCAUGGGAGACUGGAAUUCCUGGUGUAGCGGUGGAAUGCGCAUAUAUCAGGAGGAACACCGGUGGAGAAGGCGGGUCUCUGGGCAGUAACUGACGCUGAGGAGCGAAAGCGUGGGGAGCGAACAGGAUUAGAUACCCUGGUAGUCCACGCCGUAAACGGUGGGUACUAGGUGUGGGAUUCCUUCCUCGGGAUCCAGUGCCGUAGCUAACGCAUUAAGUACCCCGCCUGACGAGUACGGCCCACAAGGCUAGGACUCAAAUGGAAUUUGAUUGGGGCCCCCACAAGCAGCUGAUCAUGCCUAUUCAUUCUAUGCAACGCGCAUAGACUUACUUGCGUUUGACAUGCACAGGACGACUGCAGAGAUGUCGUUUCUCUUGUCGACCUGUGUGCAGGAGAUGCAUGGCUGUCGUCAGCUACGUGUCGUGACAUGUAUCGCUAAGUUCCCCGCAACGAGUGCUGGCCCCUUUCUUCAUGAUAGCUCCGCCACGAUAAGCUGGGAGAACUCGGUGAGGAGACUGCUCGAGUCAUCUCGGACCAAAGUGGUGAUGACCUCCACGUCGAUCAUGCCCCUAAUGAUCCAUGGCUUCACUCCAUGCUAACUAGUGGUCCGCUACGAUGGCUGUCUAUGCCCGUGAAGCGCUCGAAGCGAUCCUAUUCCAAGCUGAAUCCUCAGUAUCAGGAUCGAUG
rnacentral:rRNA from 1 species